rnacentral:rRNA from 1 species
GACGAACGCUGGCGGCGUGCUUAACACAUGCAAGUCGAACGGAAAGGCCCUGCUUUUGUGGGGUGCUCGAGUGGCGAACGGGUGAGUAACACGUGAGUAACCUGCCCUUGACUUUGGGAUAACUUCAGGAAACUGGGGCUAAUACCGGAUAGGAGCUCCUGCUGCAUGGUGGGGGUUGGAAAGUUUCGGCGGUUGGGGAUGGACUCGCGGCUUAUCAGCUUGUUGGUGGGGUAGUGGCUUACCAAGGCUUUGACGGGUAGCCGGCCUGAGAGGGUGACCGGCCACAUUAGGACUGAGAUACGGCCCAGACUCCUACGGGAGGCAGCGGUGGGGAAUAUUGCACAAUGGGCGGGAGCCUGAUGCAACAACGCCGCGUGCGGGAUGACGGCCUUCGGGUUGUAAACCGCUUUCGCCUGUGACGAAGCGUGAGUGACGGUAAUGGGUAAGGAAGCACCGGCUAACUACGUG